GAUGAACGCUGGCGGCGUGCUUAACUCAUGCAAGUCGAACGGUUAAAGCUCCCUUCGGGGAGUGUAUAAAGUGGCGAACGGGUGAGUAACACUUGGGCAAUCCACCUCGCGGACUGGAGUAACUGCGGGAAACCGCAGCUCAUACCGGACAACAACGUCGUGUCGCAUGGCUCGUUGUUCAAACGGUCCGCCGCCUUGAGCUGAGCCCGCGGCCCAUUAGCUUGUUGGUGGGGUAACGGCUCACCAAGGCUGCGAUGGGUAGCCGACCUGAGAGGGUGACCGGCCACAUUGGGACUGGGACACGGGCCAGACUCCUAUGGGAGGCAGCAGUGGGGAAUUUUGCGCAAUGGGCGCAAGCCUGACGCAGCAACGCCGCGUGGAGGAUGAAGGCCUUCGGGUCGUAAACUCCUGUUAGGAGGGACGAAGCGAAAGUGACGGUACCUCCAGAGGAAGCCCCGGCUAACUACGUGCCAGCCGCCGCGGUAA
rnacentral:rRNA from 1 species